AACUCUUAGCGGUGGAUCACUCGGCUCAUGCAUCGAGCUAGCUGCGGGAAUUAGUGUGAAUUGCAGGACACAUUGAUCAUCGACACUUCGAACGCACCUUGCGGCCCCAGGUUCCUCCCCUUCGUCCCCCCAAGGCCA
rnacentral:rRNA from 1 species